AGUGGGGAAUAUUGGACAAUGGGCGAAAGCCUGAUCCAGCAAUACCGCGUGUGUGAAGAAGGCCUGAGGGUUGUAAAGCACUUUCAAUAGGAAGGAAUACCUAUCGGUUAAUACCCGGUAGACUGACAUUACCUAUACAAGAAGCACCGGCUAACUCCGUGCCAGCAGCCGCGGUAAUACGGAGGGUGCAAGCGUUAAUCGGAAUUACUGGGCGUAAAGCGUGCGUAGGCGGUUGUUUAAGUCAGAUGUGAAAGCCCUGGGCUUAACCUGGGAACUGCAUUUGAUACUGGGCAACUAGAGUUUAGUAGAGGGGAGUGGAAUUUCAGGUGUAGCGGUGAAAUGCGUAGAGAUCUGAAGGAACACCAGUGGCGAAGGCGGCUCCCUGGACUAAAACUGACGCUGAGGUACGAAAGCGUGGGUAGCAAACAGGAUUAGAUACCCUGGUAGUCCACGCCGUAAACGAUGUCAACUAACUGUUGGGUUCUUAAAGAACUUAGUAGUGGAGCUAACGUAUUAAGUUGACCGCCUGGGGAGUACGGCCGCAAGGCUAAAACUCAAAUGAAUUGACGGGGGCCCGCACAAGCGGUGGAGCAUGUGGUUUAAUUCGAUGCAACGCGAAGAACCUUACCUACCCUUGACAUCCAGAGAAUCUGUUAGAGAUAGCGGAGUGCCUUCGGGAACUCUGAGACAGGUGCUGCAUGGCUGUCGUCAGCUCGUGUUGUGAAAUGUUGGGUUAAGUCCCGUAACGAGCGCAACCCUUAUCCUUAGUUGCCAGCGGGUCAUGCCGGGAACUCUAGGGAGACUGCCGGUGAUAAACCGGAGGAAGGUGGGGACGACGUCAAGUCAUCAUGGCCCUUAUGGGUAGGGCUACACACGUGCUACAAUGGCCGGUACAGAGGGCUGCGAACUCGCGAGAGUAAGCGAAUCCCAAAAAGCCGGUCCCAGUCCGGAUCGCAGUCUGCAACUCGACUGCGUGAAGUCGGAAUCGCUAGUAAUCGCGGAUCAGAAUGCCGCGGUGAAUACGUUCCCGGGCCUUGUACACACCGCCCGUCACACCAUGGGAGUGGGUUGCAAAAGAAGUAGGUAGUUUAACCUUCGGGAGGGCGCUUACCACUUUGUGAUUCAUGACUGGGGUG
rnacentral:rRNA from 1 species